rnacentral:tRNA from 1 species
GGGCUGGGGCUUAGUGGUAGAGCACUUGCCUUGCACAUGUGAGGCACUGGGUUCGAUCCUCAGCAGCACA